rnacentral:rRNA from 1 species
GUGCCAGCAGCUGCGGUAAUACGUAGGGUGCAAGCGUUAAUCGGAAUUACUGGGCGUAAAGCGUGCGCAGGCGGUUUUGUAAGUCAGAUGUGAAAUCCCCGAGCUCAACUUGGGAACUGCGUUUGAAACUACAAGACUAGAAUAUGUCAGAGGGGGGUAGAAUUCCACGUGUAGCAGUGAAAUGCGUAGAGAUGUGGAGGAAUACCAAUGGCGAAGGCAGCCCCCUGGGAUAAUAUUGACGCUCAUGCACGAAAGCGUGGGGAGCGAACAGGAUUAGAUACCCUGGUAGUCC